GGAUUCACAGCUUCCAGGAAGUUACUCCUUAGUGAAGAACAAAGGUAUAGUUUGAGCACAAAUGUCUCCACACUGUUCUUUCCACAUACAGGCAUCUGUAGGCAAUGGACCUCAAAGCAUGCCAAAUAAGAACCCAGCUAGCACUGAGCCAAUAAUGCAAAUGACAUUGACAAGAGAACUCACCAUUAAAGCCAUGAUUCUUCAUGUCUUAUCACACUUUCAGAAAGGAAAUGGCAGACUGUUGACAGAUUGCUGGCACAAUUUGAUGAGCCACGGAAGAUACAGAAAGGAGGCUCUAUCGAUAUCUCUUCAGCCAUUGGUCCUACUUUUUAAGAUUUUUAAUAGCUCUUCUUUCUCAAUGAAUUGCCUGGUUGAGAAGGGCAAAGAUCUAGAACCUGGAACCCAGAUGUUUCAUUUUAAGUUGCUCUGAAGACAUUCAAAAGGUGUGGGGUUCAGAAAGGUCAGUGCAGCAGACAGUAAACUGUAGAAUCACUGGCAUAUAAGUGCUUACAUGAAGUCAUGGGCAAAGAGGGCCUGCAAGGUUAGGAUGUGAUAUGAGAGGUAGGGCUCAAUAAUAUUAACAGCAUUAGUCAAUUAAUACUCAGACUCCUCAAUAAACUCCCAAAGCAAACCCAGAUGGUCUAAGAUGACUCAGACAUCUCUCCUACAAGGUCAUCUGAGAAAAAGAUGAUAAUCUAUACUCUCCAGUCUUUCUCAUCUGUUUAAGAGAGACUUGUUCAUAAUCUCUUGGUAAAGGACUGCUAGGCUAGCUUCACUUCAGGGGAUGUGAGAAUAUUCACCAUGCUUUGUUACAAUGCUCCCACUCCUCUGCUAGUGCUAAUUAGAUCCCUCAGAUGUUUAACCCUAGUCAACAAUCAACCCAAUGCCAGUUAGCCUCAUGUCUUUAUUUACAGGGAAUCCAGAUAGGAAAGACAGAAAUGUUACUGGGAAAAACACACACACACACACACACACACACACACACACACACAGGGACAUAAAAACAUGAGAAAAAUUGAGAGAAUUGGCCCAAAGAAUCACUAAAUGUGAACCUCAUUAGUUUUCAUAUCUCACAAUAACAAAAAUCAUUAACUGGAUCUAGAUAAGUGUAUUUCACUUCUAACAUAGAAUGAGAUAAUUGAACUUUACCAUUUAUCUCUAUUAACCAUACUCUUUGGACUAUGUUCAAGGUAAUGUUUUUCUUUCAUUUCAUUUCAUUUUGUAGACAGGGUUUCUCUGUGUAGCCCUGCCUAUCCUAGAACUCCCUCUGCAGACCAGGCUGACCUCAAACUCAGAGAUCUCCCUGCCUGGACUUAACAGCAUGCACCACCACACCUGCUUCUCAAGGAUCUCGUAGCCCCCAGUGAGGAGCAUCUCAUCCCUGAAGUCAUCCAAGAAAAAAAUACCAUUAUCUACACUCUCUAGUCUUCCUUAUCUGUUUAAAAAAGACUUGAUCGUUAAAUAAAGCAUCCUCAUGUACUAGCUUGUAUCUUUUAAACCUUGCUUCCCAAGUUAGCCCUGAUUGGUUAAUAAAGAUGUCUAAAUCCUGGUCUGGGCAGAAGAGAGGGAGUAGAGUGAGGUUCCCAAGCUUGGGGUCUCAGGCAGGAACAUAAGAAAGGGAGAGGAGGAAGAGAAAGAAGUUGCCCUCCUUAUCAGGCCAGUUGGAGACACUACCAAAUCCUGUAUGCAGUCUACGACUUUAACUGGACACCUACUUCAGCAGCUUGUAAUUUCAGCCAGGUGACCAGACCAGGUGGGCAUUUUUCCUGAUCUAAUUCAUACCUGGUUGGUGUCAGUAAUAAGUGGCUAUUGAGAAUUUCUGUCUCCUGUGAUAGGUAGAAACUCAACCAAGGCAGCAUUCCCUGCCUUGAAGACUUCAUUGAAGUCUGUUGUCAGGGCUGGGGAGAGAAGAAAGUCCAUAUAUCCUAUCUUGGAGACUUUUCUAGUUCCAUAAAGGGUCUUUGAAAGCAUAAAACAACUUUAGUUCUCAAGCUGCAUAUCAACCAAGCUUUGAAGGAUGUGCCUAAGGAUUCUGGUGAUUGUGGUCUGGGUUGAAUUAAAAACUAGUAAUAUAAGAAAAUUAUUGGAGGAAUUACAGAAAUGAAAGAUAAUGAAGACUCUACACACAUUUGAAAAUUCUGAGCUGGAGAUAUUGCUCAGUGGUAGUGUGCUUGUCUGGCUUGUGUAAGUUCAUGGCUUCAAUGCCCAGCACCAUGAUGUGGGGUAGAAGGGUGGGUGUGGGGGUAGUGUGCGGGUGGCUUUAAGGAGUUUAUAAUUUAGGGUAAAGGAAGAGUACAAUAAUAAGCCAACAAUAAAGUCAGAUCUGGGGACACUGCCACAAGUGUACAUGCAUCUCCAGGAAUGACGAAAGCGCUACAGGGAUUAAUUCUGCAUAUUGAAGACAAUGGAAUUCCUUGCUCAGAUCUAACAAUCCCAUCCAUUUGAGAACUGUUCAUCUAGACGGAAUACACUGAGUAGCUGUGUUUUGGAGAAGAGAAUGACUCCUCUGUGCAGGUAUAGAAGAGAGGCUGCCAGCAUGGAUUAGGCUUCAGCGAAAAUGU
ensembl:lncRNA